rnacentral:tRNA from 1 species
GGAGAGGUGCGUGAGCGGUCGAAACGGCGCGCUUGGAAAGCGUGUGUACCUUCACGGGUACCCAGGGUUCGAAUCCCUGCCUCUCCGCCA